rnacentral:pre_miRNA from 1 species
AAUAGAUGACGCCGUUGACUUUUUCUCACAUGUUUGACCAUUCGUCUUAUUCAAAAAAUUUUGUUAUGAGUUGUUUUAUCACUCAUAGUACUUUAAGUGUGAUUUAUAUCUUAUACAUUUGCAUAAAAUUUUUGAAUAAGACGAAUGGUCAAACAUAUGAGAAAAAGUCAACGACGUCAUCUAUU